UACGUAGGUCCCGAGCGUUGUCCGGAUUUAUUGGGCGUAAAGCGAGCGCAGGUGGUUUAUUAAGUCUGGUGUAAAAGGCAGUGGCUCAACCAUUGUAUGCAUUGGAAACUGGUAGACUUGAGUGCAGGAGAGGAGAGUGGAAUUCCAUGUGUAGCGGUGAAAUGCGUAGAUAUAUGGAGGAACACCGGUGGCGAAAGCGGCUCUCUGGCCCGUAACUGACGUUGAGGCUCGAAAGCGUGGGGAGCAAACAGG
rnacentral:rRNA from 1 species